GACAGAGGGGGCAAGCGUUGCUCGGAAUUACUGGGCGUAAAGCGCACGUAGGCGGUCUUUUAAGUCGGGGGUGAAAUCCUGGAGCUCAACUCCAGAACUGCCUUCGAUACUGGAAGACUCGAGUCCGGGAGAGGUGAGUGGAACUGCGAGUGUAGAGGUGAAAUUCGUAGAUAUUCGCAAGAACACCAGUGGCGAAGGCGGCUCACUGGCCCGGUACUGACGCUGAGGUGCGAAAGCGUGGGGAGCAAACAGG
rnacentral:rRNA from 1 species